rnacentral:rRNA from 1 species
UACGGGGGGGGCAAGCGUUGUUCGGAAUUACUGGGCGUAAAGGGUUUGUAGGUGGCUUUCUAAGUCACACGUGAAAUCCCUCAGCUUAACUGGGGAACUGCGUGUGAAACUGGCGAGCUUGAGGACAGGAGAGGAACGCGGAAUUCCAGGUGUAGCGGUGAAAUGCGUAGAUAUCUGGAGGAACACCGGUGGCGAAGGCGGCGUUCUGGACUGUUUCUGACACUGAUAAACGAAAGCCAGGGGAGCAAACGGG